ensembl:lncRNA
CGCUCACCUGCCGCCGCAGGUGGGGGGUUGCCAUGGCAACACAACAGGCGUAAAAAAUCGAUCCUGGCCAAAAUCGAACCAACGCCCAGCCAAUCACGUGGCGCUCCUCCGGUCAUGUGACGCAGACGGUUCACCUCACAAGACCGGGGUCAACCACGGCUACCAGCAUGAACGACGGCGCUUCACAACACCGUCUGAACUGACCAGUCUGGUGAAAUUCUGGACUGGAUGGGAGAUUCUACCAAGAACUCUCUCCUCAGAAGUAGUGAAUGGCAGAUACCUGACAGCCUGCACCUGCUAUGAGACCUUACAUUCCCAGGACAUUACAAGGACCUUUGUAGCGAGGACCCGAUGCCAGGUCCAGUGGACAGACUUCAGACGUCUCUGUGUGUCCCGUCCUGUCCGGUCCUGUCUCUGGUUGCCUGGUUACAGACGCUGCUGCACCCGCACGUUUAAAAAUGUCUACACCUGAAACUCCACCACGUCUAAAGAAGCAAAAACGUUUGCAAAUGUACAGACUGGAGUAGGAAGAGUGGAACCCCUGGCAAUGGAUACAAGGCAAACUGUGUUUUCUGUUGCUCAUGGACUGGCUGAAGUAAGGCAGCAUCAGGAGACAAACAUGGAGGAAAUAUGAGAACAGAGAGAACCCAACCAGCAGGUCACAGUUUAUCAUCAUCUAAUCAUCUCCUGAAGUCCAUA